AUUGAACGCUGACGGCAGGCUUAACACAUGCAAGUCGAACGGUAACAUGAAGAAGCUUGCUUCUUUGAUGACGAGUGGCGGACGGGUGAGUAAUGCUUGGGAAUCUAGCUUAUGGAGGGGGAUAACUACGGGAAACUGUAGCUAAUACCGCGUAGAAUCGAGAGAUGAAAGUGUGGGACCUUCGGGCCACAUGCCAUAGGAUGAGCCCAAGUGGGAUUAGGUAGUUGGUGAGGUAAAGGCUCACCAAGCCGACGAUCUCUAGCUGGUCUGAGAGGAUGACCAGCCACACUGGGACUGAGACACGGCCCAGACUCCUACGGGAGGCAGCAGUGGGGAAUAUUGCGCAAUGGGGGCAACCCUGACGCAGCCAUGCCGCGUGAAUGAAGAAGGCCUUCGGGUUGUAAAGUUCUUUCGGUAGCGAGGAAGGCAUUUAGUUUAAUAGACUAAGUGAUUGACGUAACUACAGAAGAGCACCGCA
rnacentral:rRNA from 1 species